UACGUAGGGUGCGAGCGUUGUCCGGAAUUACUGGGCGUAAAGAGCUCGUAGGUGGUUUGUCGCGUUGUUCGUGAAAACUCACAGCUUAACUGUGGGCGUGCGGGCGAUACGGGCAGACUGGAGUACUGCAGGGGAGACUGGAAUUCCUGGUGUAGCGGUGGAAUGCGCAGAGUAUCAGGAGGAACACCGGUGGCGAAGGCGGGUCUCUGGGCAGUAACUGACGCUGAGGAGCGAAAGCGUGGGGAGCGAACAGG
rnacentral:rRNA from 1 species